rnacentral:rRNA from 1 species
CACGUAGUUGGCCGGGCCUUCUUCUGGAGGUACCGUCAUUUUCGUCCCUCCUGAAAGCGGUUUACAACCCGAAGGCCUUCAUCCCGCACGCGGUGUCGCUGCAUCAGGCUUUCGCCCAUUGUGCAAUAUUCCC